GCCUGGGUGGCUCAGUCAGUUAAGCGCAUGACUUCAGCCCAGGUCAUGAUCCCCCACUUCGUGGGUUCGAACCCUGCGUCAGGCU
rnacentral:tRNA from 1 species